UACGUAGGUGGCAAGCGUUGUCCGGAAUUAUUGGGCGUAAAGAGCGUGUAGGCGGCUUUACAGGUCCGUUGUGAAAACUCGAGGCUCAACCUCGAGACGCCGGUGGAAACCGUAAGGCUAGAGUCCGGAAGAGGAGAGUGGAAUUCCUGGUGUAGCGGUGAAAUGCGCAGAUAUCAGGAGGAACACCCGUGGCGAAAGCGGCUCUCUGGGACGGUACUGACGCUGAGACGCGAAAGCGUGGGGAGCAAACAGG
rnacentral:rRNA from 1 species